rnacentral:rRNA from 1 species
UACGUAGGGCGCAAGCGUUGUUCGGAAUUAUUGGGCGUAAAGAGCUCGUAGGCGGUUUGUCGCGUCUGCUGUGAAAACGCGAGGCUCAACCUCGCGCCUGCAGUGGGUACGGGCAGGCUAGAGUGUGGUAGGGGAGACUGGAAUUCCUGGUGUAGCGGUGGAAUGCGCAGAUAUCAGGAGGAACACCGAUGACGAAGGCAGGUCUCUGGGCCACUACUGACGCUGAGGAGCGAAAGCAUGGGUAGCGAACAGG